rnacentral:rRNA from 1 species
UACGUAGGGAGCAAGCGUUGUUCGGAUUUACUGGGCGUAAAGGGCGCGUAGGCGGCGCGGUAAGUCACUUGUGAAAUCUCUGAGCUUAACUCAGAACGGCCAAGUGAUACUGCAGUGCUAGAGUGCAGAAAGGGCAAUCGGAAUUCUUGGUGUAGCGGUGAAAUGCGUAGAUAUCAAGAGGAACACCUGAGGCGAAGGCAGCUGGCUACGCGAAUAUUGACACUGAUGCACGAAAGCGUGGGGAUCAAACAGG